AAGACCUUGCGCUUUUGGAGCGGCCGAUGUCUGAUUAGCUAGUUGGUAGGGUAAUGGCCUACCAAAGCUUCGAUCAGUAGCUGGUCUGAGAGGACGACCAGCCACACUGGGACUGAGACACGGCCCAGACUCCUACGGGAGGCAGCAGUGGGGAAUUUUGGACAAUGGGCGCAAGCCUGAUCCAGCCAUGCCGCGUGAGUGAAGAAGGCCUUCGGGUUGUAAAGCUCUUUCAGCCGGAACGAAACGGUUACGGUUAAUACCCGUGACUACUGACGGUACCGGAAGAAGAAGCACCGGCUAACUACGUGCCAGCAGCCGCGGUAAUACGUAGGGUGCGAGCGUUAAUCGGAAUUACUGGGCGUAAAGCGUGCGCAGGUGGUUUUGUAAGUCAGAUGUGAAAGCCCCGGGCUCAACCUGGGAACU
rnacentral:rRNA from 1 species